AAAUGUGGAAAAGAACUAAUGAAAAAGGUUGGAGAAACCCAUUUUCUCUCCUUCUCCCGUAUCCUCUCUCCUCCUUCUCUUUUGCGUUGCGCUGCAACAGGAGCCCCAUUUAACAGCAAGCCGAAGACUGCCGAGUGCCGACGCAACAGCUCUGUCGUCCACUGGUCACCAAAGGCUCUCAUACUACACAUCCAGAAUGCUCUUGCCGUCCCUUAUCCUAUCCCCCAAGUUAGUUUCUAUAAAUUCGUAGGCGAUUUUCCUCAACUUCAAAUCUAAGAAACGGUGACCCAGGGGUUUUCGGCCAAUAUCGCCGGAAUUGGAGCUCGACCCAAGAGGUAGAAAUGAUACUCUUCUCGUGGGCUGUUCUCCAAUUUGUUGAAACCCCUAACGAUUACGUUCCCGGUUGAUAGUUGAAGCAUGUCUAUAACAUGGUGUGGGAUUGAACUCUGUAGAACCUUGUAUUGUUGUGAAUAGGCGAUGAACGAACUCUGUUGCAUAGGAAUUAUAAAAUUCAUGGAAAGAUUGUGAAAAUGUGGUAGGAAAUUAGAAAAUGGGGGCCAAAAUCAUGUUAUGAUGAUGGCAAUUGCAUAGCCUGAUUCCUUGUUUACUCUAGUUGUAUUCAGCAGUUUGCUGUCCAGUAGAUGUUUACCUAUUUGGUAGACAAGGCUCCUCAAGGGAGAGCUUGCCGGAGGUGUGAGUGGACAUUUAUUUGAGAAAUGUUUUUCUUUAUCAAAUAUUAAGCAUGCCUAGAUACAUAUGAUUUCCAUUA